rnacentral:rRNA from 1 species
UACGAAGGGGGGCUAGCGUUGCUCGGAAUUACUGGGCGUAAAGGGCGCGUAGGCGGCACUGUUAGUCAGGCGUGAAAUUCCUGGGCUCAACCUGGGGACUGCGCUUGAUACGGCAGAGCUUGAGGAUGGAAGAGGGUCGCGGAAUUCCCAGUGUAGAGGUGAAAUUCGUAGAUAUUGGGAAGAACACCGGUGGCGAAGGCGGUUCUCUGGGCCUUACCUGACGCUGAGGAGCGAAAGCGUGGGUAGCAAACAGG